CAUCUCCUACGGGACGCAGCAGUGGGGAAUAUUGCACAAUGGGCGAAAGCCUGAUGCAGCGACGCCGCGUGAAGGAUGAAGUAUUUCGGUAUGUAAACUUCUAUCAGCAGGGAAGAAAAUGACGGUACCUGACUAAGAAGCCCCGGCUAACUACGUGCCAGCAGCCGCGGUAAUACGUAGGGGGCAAGCGUUAUCCGGAUUUACUGGGGGUAAAGGGAGCGUAGACGGCGAAGCAAGCCAGAUGUGAAAGCCCGGGGCUCAACCCCGGUACUGCAU
rnacentral:rRNA from 1 species